CUGAGACAAAGAGGAAAGCCAAAGCACGCUGUGCUGUGCAGGGCCUGGCUGAGUGGGUGACGUCGCUCAGAGAGCCACCAUUCGAGUGUCACAGCUGUCACCAUCCAUUCCCCGCACAUCAAAUCCAUUCUGCUUCUGUCUGGGGCAGGAGCUUGUUACCUCAGGAACCUCCUCUGACUGCCAUGACCUUUCUAAGGUAAUCAA
rnacentral:lncRNA from 1 species